rnacentral:rRNA from 1 species
GACGAACGCUGGCGGCGUGCUUAACACAUGCAAGUCGAACGGAAAGGCCUCUUUCGGGGGGUACUCGAGUGGCGAACGGGUGAGUAACACGUGAGUAACCUGCCCUUGACUUUGGGAUAACUUCAGGAAACUGGAGCUAAUACCGGAUAGGAGCUCCUGCUGCAUGGUGGGGGUUGGAAAGUUUCGGCGGUUGGGGAUGGACUCGCGGCUUAUCAGCUUGUUGGUGGGGUAGUGGCUUACCAAGGCUUUGACGGGUAGCCGGCCUGAGAGGGUGACCGGCCACAUUGGGACUGAGAUACGGCCCAGACUCCUACGGGAGGCAGCAGUGGGGAAUAUUGCACAAUGGGUGGAAGCCUGAUGCAGCAACGCCGUGUGCGGGAUGACGGCCUUCGGGUUGUAAACCGCUUUCGCUCAUGACGAAGCUUUGUGUGACGGUAGUGGGUAAAGAAGCACCGGCUAACUACGUG